AGCGCACAAUUUAAAGAUGGCUUCGAUACGGUCAGCGCAGAACGAGACGAAAAUGCGCCCGCCGGAAAAACACUCCUAAUCUUUUCGCAUGAUGGGUCAAACAUUUCUUGGAUUUUGGUGGGGAUUUUUGCAAGGGAGGAAAGUUAUGCCCUCUAAUCGGUGUUUCAAGCAGUUUAGGAAAGAAUUCGUUAUUUCCCGUGAGAUUAUAUUGAAAUCGACGUCGGUGGCUGAAGAGCAUAAAAGAGGUUAGAAUGCGGAUAUGAGUCCGUUCUCGAAUCUUCGUCUACAAAUUCUUUUGUGCACAGUGGUUGGCUUGCACGUUGCCGCGUUUUUUGUCAGGCCGAUUUUCUCUCCGAAAAAGAGCAGCAAGGAAGAUUCGAGGCUCAGAGUGCAGCCGGACUAUUUGAACCUAGCAGAAGACAGAGAGCUAGAAACGCAACAUGCGGUGCGUGAGGAUCAAGUCAGCUGAUCGUCAUGAGGAUUAGGAAACGUAGACCUAUUCUCAGGGGUGAGAUAUUCCUCGUUAUUGUACUGGGAACUCUUGGCGGUUUCUACACCUAUAAUUCUUUGCUUCGUACAACACUCGGGCAGAACAAGGAGCCAAAAACCACACCGGACGCGACUGCUGAAACAUAAAACAUGUUGGAGCGGUAUAAAAAGUUUGUCAGUGGACCAACAGGCUUGUUGGCAGCUGGAGUAGGUCUAAUGACUGGUGUAAUACUGGGAUGGAAGUGGGGCAUUUCACCGAUUUUAAGGAAACGGAAACGAGACCAAGCCGAAGAAUUUGCUGAAUAUAUAUUUCAAGAGCGUUUAAAGAAAAGUGGAGAAAAUGUACAGCAAUGAAUAUUUACAAUCCAAAUAGAAUGUAUAAAUUUAAAUACCACCUUUUGAGGUCUCAAUUCGUUGCUGUGUUGAGAGAAGCAAUGGUGUUAGGUGUAUACUUGAUUAAAUAAAUAAAUAAAUCAUAGAAAUAGGAUCUUA